rnacentral:misc_RNA from 1 species
UCUGAGUCUUUCAAGGGUUCAAUGCCAUCUGAAUGUUUUCCAUCUUUCUGACGCUGAACUGCAGCCCCCAAAUUAACAAGAAGUUUAUUUGUUUCUUCAAGAAGCAUUGUAAGUCGCUCAUUCUUGCUCUCCUUUACUAAUCUCAUAUAAGCUUCUUGAUCAUCCGCCUUCAGGGCUUGAAACCUCAGUUUUUCAGCUCGAGUAGCACGCUGCCUUUGCCUUCCAUGCCAUGCCUGGACCCCAUCAUUCCUUUGCUUUCUGCGCUUAAGAGAAGCCUGAACUUGCAAUUGGAACUCUCGAACUGCAUUAAGUAUUUCUGCAAAAAAUUUUCUUUUCC